CUGUAUUAGGGCAUCAGUGAUACUUGCCACUCCCUGAUCAGCAAGUCCAAGUAGCAUGACGUCAUCAAUAGGUGGGUCAUAGUGAUGUUCUGUGUCAUGUCAGGAUGAGCAAGGUCCUUGCAGACAUGUAGACAGUGAAUGUAUACUGCUGUUCUUCACAUAUGAAGGCAACCACUAUAGAUUUUCCUUGUUGAUGGGGAUUGAGAAGAAAGCAUUUGCCAGGGAGUGUACUUCCCCACCGAAGCUGUGCUCAGACCUAACUCUGGUCAUUAGCCAGGAGACAACGAGGGGUGAUGGGGACAGAUCUUGAGAAAAACAAUGGUCAGCUGUGGAGCAUCUCGUCUGUGAGCAAUCUGAAAGCCCUGUGCUGGGAUGGUGGUUUCCCAAAAUGGAAGCAGCCUGGAUCACCGAGUCACUGCAUGGAGGAUAGCUGCCCUAAAGACACACCCAACCCACACUGGAAUUUUCAUGAGCAAGAAAGAAAUCUUUAUUGUGGAAUGUUCCAUGCAGUCCUGUGGUUAGUCACAAAGCCUGAAGAUGAUAAACGUACUACAGCAUCGGCCAGUGUUUCCCUUCCAGGACCAGAAGUGGACGGAGCCUGAGCAAGCAGAAAAUAAUAAUACAGCUGGCAGCCUGGCAAGGGGCCAUAAUGAAACGCCUCCGAGUAGUCCUUAUUUCUGGAGCAGCCCUCCCUUCCCACCCCGCCUCACUUGCUGUGCUGGUCUGGGCACAGGGAUAGGGCCUUCCAUGUCCCUGUCCAAGGGAAGCCAGGGUAGUUUGCGAUCUUAAACACAGGGAAACACGGAAGUCAGCCUGCUCUGCCUCUGGCUCCCAAGGGGAAUUCCCAGCAGCUGUUUAAUAGAGUGCAUGCCCACCCAACAUUAUAUAAUUGUUCGAGGCGGGAUGAGAUGAGGUGAGAAAAAAUAAAAGAAUGAAUGACUCCUGUGAGAUUGCAGACAGUUGAGUAACCAGGUGGCAUGCUUCCCUUAAGGAAUGUUCUAGUGUGAUUGGGGAGUAAGUGUGAGAAGUGUUGUAGCAUCCUUGUGUUUUAGGGGAAUGAGGACUAGCCAGGGGCUUCUGCUAAGUAGGCAGUUUCCUUUGGGCUGGAGCUGGGACAAGUAUUUCCAGCUCAAAGCACCAGGGGACACUGUGGCAGAAGGAAGGGACAGAAGAG
rnacentral:lncRNA from 1 species